GGUGGCUCAGUGGUAGAGCACUUGCCUUGCAUGCUCGAGGCCCUGGGUUCGAUUCUCAGCACCA
rnacentral:tRNA from 1 species